rnacentral:rRNA from 1 species
CGGACCGGCGCACGGGUGAGUAACGCGUAUGCAACUUGCCUAUCAGGAGGGGGAUAACCCGGCGAAAGUCGGACUAAUACCGCAUGAAGCAGGGGCCCCGCAUGGGGAUAUUUGCUAAAGAUUCAUCGCUGAUAGAUAGGCAUGCGUUCCAUUAGGCAGUUGGCGGGGUAACGGCCCACCAAACCGACGAUGGAUAGGGGUUCUGAGAGGAAGGUCCCCCCACAUUGGUACUGAGACACGGACCAAACUCCUACGGGAGGCAGCAG